CUCAGUUCGGAUUGGAGGCUGAAACCCGCCUCCAUGAAGUUGGAUUCGCUAGUAAUCGCGCAUCAGCCAUGGCGCGGUGAAUACGUUCCCGGGCCUUGUACACACCGCCCGUCAAGCCAUGGGAGCUGGGGGUGCCUGAAGUUCGUGACCGCAAGGAUCGACCUAGGGCAAAACCGGUGACUGGGGCUAAGUCGUAACAAGGUACC
rnacentral:rRNA from 1 species